rnacentral:rRNA from 1 species
GUGAAAUUGUUGAAAGGGAAACGCUUGAAACCAGUCAUGUGGUUGGAAAAUCAGUGUUCAAUUGGGGGGAAUGGGGGAGGUGUGGACCGCAAGGCUGCUCUUUUCUAUAUCUCUUUUGUUGGGCAUGCACUUUUUCUUCUGCAGGUCAACAUCAGUUUCUUUUGCUGGACAAAACUCUUGAGAAGGUAGCAGCUUAGGCUGUGUUAUAGCUCUGGAGCGAUACAGUGGAGGAGACUGAGGUUUUCGCAGCAUGUGCUCUCGGGCAAGGCCAGUUGGGUGCUAUGGGAUCGUUCGGGGUACAAUACAUGUAUUUUGCUUCGUGUCUUUUCUAUACUCGUUCAAUUGAGCUCUUCCAUGCUUAGGAUGUUGACUUAAUGGUUUUAAUCGACCCGUCUUGAAACACGGACCAAGGAGUCUAACAUAUAUGCAAGUGUUUGGGUGGCAAACCCAUGCGCGUAAUGAAAGUGAACGUAGGUGCCAUCCGCAAGGUGCAGCAUCGACCGAUCUUGAUAUUUUUGGAUAGAUUUGAGUAAGAGCAUAUAUGCUGGGACCCGAAAGAUGGUGAACUAUGCCUGAAUAGGGUGAAGCCAGAGGAAACUCUGGUGGAGGCUCGUAGCGAUUCUGACGUGCAAAUC